AAAAUCCGUCGACUUUAGAAAUCGUGAGGAAGUCCUUUAUCCCCA
rnacentral:tRNA from 1 species